rnacentral:rRNA from 1 species
GAUGAACGCUGGCGGCGUGCCUAAUACAUGCAAGUCGAGCGAACGGACGAGAAGCUUGCUUCUCUGAUGUUAGCGGCGGACGGGUGGGUAACACGUGGAUAACCUACCUAUAAGACUGGGAUAACUUCGGGAAACCGGAGCUAAUACCGGAUAAUAUUUUGAACCGCAUGGUUCAAAAGUGAAAGACGGUCUUGCUGUCACUUAUAGAUGGAUCCGCGCUGCAUUAGCUAGUUGGUAAGGUAACGGCUUACCAAGGCAACGAUGCAUAGCCGACCUGAGAGGGUGAUCGGCCACACUGGAACUGAGACACGGUCCAGACGCCUACGGGAGGCAGCAGUAGGGAAUCUUCCGCAAUGGGCGAAAGCCUGACGGAGCAACGCCGCGUGAGUGAUGAAGGUCUUCGGAUCGUAAAACUCUGUUAUUAGGGAAGAACAUAUGUGUAAGUAACUGUGCACAUCUUGACGGUACCUAAUCAGAAAGCCACGGCUAACUACGUG